rnacentral:tRNA from 1 species
UGUCCCAUAGUAUAAUGGUAGUACGACAGACUCUGACUCUGUUUGUCGAGGUUCGAAUCCUCGUGGGACAA